rnacentral:lncRNA from 1 species
CUCCAUCUCUUAACACAUAUUUGUCAUCUUGCUUUAGACAAAACAACGGAUCUCUCUUUAGAGCAAAGACCUUGACUAAUCAUGGAAGUAUAUGUAGGCCUCACUAGUUAUAGAGCGCCUAAGCCGAUUGAUCAUCAAUACAGUCAUCUUAUCGAGACUGUGUCUUCCUAAGAUCUUUUUCUUCGGAUGUUGAUACAUAUUGGCAUCUCUUGAUCCAUCAAGAGUCCAUGUAAAUCCGGAAUGAACACGCAAAGGCAUAAUUCACCAUAUCCCUUCCAAAUCAAGUAGAGUCCAUGUGCGUUUCAAUACAUUUAGCAAACGCAUGCUCCUGUGGUUUGGAGCCACUUGAUUCGGAUGAAUGAAGUCCGUUUAAGAUCUUCAUGUAUAUCUCUGAUCCCAUAGAGAUGUUAUUAUGACCACAUUCAUAAGCUGCAUGUUCAGUUAUUCGGAAACUACCAAACUGACAAAGUAGUGGAGUUCAAUGACAUCCAUUACGAGAGCAUAUCUCAUCGUAGUUGAUCCCAGUGCGUGUUAGUGAAAGACCUCGCGCCAUAAGGUGAGUCUAAGCUCUUACUCUCACUACGCUAUCUAACAAAGGCAUAGUUGAUAGGGUUUAGCUUGCGGUGUCGGCAUCACCUGCCCAAGGACCUAUCUCUUUGUUAAUGCUGGAUCAUAUCUUUCCAUUAGGCCAAUCAACUAAGUUGAUAUCCAUCAACUAAGGGUGGUUCGAUAGUAGACUCAUUAUCUCACGUCCUCAUGUACACUAGUGUAAUACUUAUAGAGAUCUCUAUAUGGAUUGGAUUUGACAUUGAGGCGUCCCCCAAUGAUAAUCACAAUUCAGACUUCAUGAGACGGAUUUGAGUAUCACUGAUCAAUGGAUCAGGUUGUGCCAAGCUCGCUUUCUUUCUAGUACAAGACAAUAUCGAACUUAAGGGCCUCCCUCCUUUUAGGGAGCCACACGGCCUUGUGACACUAAUUUUUGCCACUAUAUGGCGUCACCAUAUCACCAUCCAUGGUGAUGGCGUCAAGACCAACACUUUUUGGUCGCGCCAUGUCCUUUUGUAGGACAUCAAUCCUUGCAGACAUAUUUGUAGCAUGUGAUCUUGUCACUUUAACACUAUAAGCAUUUGGGAUCAAGAUGAGACUUAGUGGGGACAAACCACGACAAUUCACGUCGUUCCACUUGAACACUUGUGUUCUUAUCUCCCCCUAACGGCGGGAAUAUUGUCUCAUCAAAGUGACAAUCCGCAAUUUAGCGGUGAAUGAGAUCGCCUGACAAUGUUCCUACAUAUGCGGAUUAUAGGUGGAGGUUCAUAUCCAACCUAAACUUAUUCAUCUCAAAUGACCCAUCAUUGUACACAGUGGCAAUGUGAUUUGGCACCUAGAAAUAACAUCUAGCCGAGCUCAAGGAUUGGAGAUCCGUUUCAAUCCUGCCGAGCUC